UAGGGAAUCUUUCCGCAAUGUGACGAAAGUCUGACGUGAGCCAACGCCCGCGUGAGUGAAGAAGCUCGGGUGUAAAACUCUGUGUGCCGGGGAAGAACAAGUGCACGUCGAACAGGGCGUGCCUUGACGGUACCCGGGCCAGAAAGCCACGGUUAUCUACGUG
rnacentral:rRNA from 1 species